UACGAAGGGGGCUAGCGUUGUUCGGAAUUACUGGGCGUAAAGCGCAUGUAGGCGGCGAUUCAAGUCGGGGGUGAAAUCCUGGAGCUCAACUCCAGAACUGCCUUCGAUACUGCAUUGCUGGAGUAUGGAAGAGGUAGGUGGAACUGCGAGUGUAGAGGUGAAAUUCGUAGAUAUUCGCAAGAACACCAGUGGCGAAGGCGGCCUACUGGUCCAUCACUGACGCUGAGAUGCGAAAGCGUGGGGAGCGAACAGG
rnacentral:rRNA from 1 species